UUGAAUCAAACCAUUGAGGGUGCCUUGAAAAAGGAGAAUAGGGAAACCGGUGUGAAUCCGGUACGAACCCAUCACUGUAAACAGGGACGCGCCGCAGUAAACCACUGGCCUCGGGCCGGGAAGGGAGCGGAGUGCGGAGGAGCUGUGAGUCAGGAGACCUGCCUUUAGUGUUACGCGUGUU
rnacentral:ncRNA from 21 species